AUGAGGGAGCAUUCUUUUGUCACAGGUAUAUUAAAUAAAAGUGAAAGAACGGCUGGUGAACAUGAGGACCUGAUUAAGUUCGAUCCUCAAGUUGCAUUAGUCAAAGAUCUUGUUACUAGUAAUGUUGAGGAUUCCACUAUAAAUUUUUGUGCUGUUUCUACUAACCUUGUUACAGCCAAAAAUAAAGGCCCAAUUUUAGGUACGCCAGUUGUAUCUGUUAAAAUAGGAUAUCAUAAUUAUUAUGGGCUAUGUGAUUUGGGAUCCAGUGCUAGUUCUAUUCCUUUUUCACUUUAUCAAGAGAUCAUGAAUGAGAUUUUACCAUGUGAAAUUGAAGACGUUGAUGUUACCAUUCAUCUUGUAAACAAAUAA
rnacentral:rRNA from 1 species